rnacentral:rRNA from 1 species
AGCGAACGCUGGCGGCAGGCUUAACACAUGCAAGUCGAACGGUCCUUCGGGAUAGUGGCGGACGGGUGAGUAACACGUGGGAACGUACCCUUAGGUUCGCAACAACACAGGGAAACUUGUGCUAAUACCGGAUAAGCCCUUCGGGGGAAAGAUUGAUUUCCUUUGGAGAGGCCCGCGUCUGAUUAGCUUGUUGGUGAGGUAAUGGCUCACCAAGGCUACGAUCAGUAGCUGGUCUGAGAGGAUGGCCAGCCACACUGGGACUGAGACACGGCCCAGACUCCUACGGGAGGCAGCAGUGGGGAAUCUUGCGCAAUGGGCGAAAGCCUGACGCAGCCAUGCCGCGUGGAUGAUGAAGGUCUUAGGAUUGUAAAAUCCUUUCACCGGGGACGAUAAUGACGGUACCCGGAGAAGAAGCCCCGGCUAACUUCGUGCCAGCCGCCGCCGUAA